UACGUAGGGUGCGAGCGUUGUCCGGAUUUAUUGGGCGUAAAGAGCUCGUAGGCGGCUUGUCGCGUCGGAUGUGAAAAGCCCCGGGGCUUAACUCCGGGUCUGCAUUCGAUACGGGCAGGCUAGAGUGUGGUAGGGGAGAUCGGAAUUCCUGGUGUAGCGGUGAAAUGCGCAGAUAUCAGGAGGAACACCGGUGGCGAAGGCGGAUCUCUGGGCCAUUACUGACGCUGAGGAGCGAAAGCGUGGGGAGCGAACAGG
rnacentral:rRNA from 1 species